rnacentral:ncRNA from 1 species
CUUAUCAAGAGAGGUUGAGGGACAGGGCCCUAUGACACCCGGCAACCGGCAAACAGUACGGUGCCAAUUCCCCCGCAAAUAUUUGUGGAAGAUGAGG